UUGAUUGAAGGAGCUUCAUCUCCUCCAUUGCCGAAGACAAUCUUUUUUCUAUUUCUGCAACUUCUUCUGAUUCCUUGCUUUCUAGAUUAUCGUCUUUAGUAACAUUGUUCAAUCCUUGGUCCUUGAAAUCAUCUGCUAAUGGAGGCCACAUCACAGCAGUGGGAGCAAAAAAAUCAAUCGUCUGCCCAGUUCCAAGGACCCCACUUCUUCCCCUACCCCAGGACCAAAGCUUAUAUCCAUCAUUUGCAACAAGAACAGUAUGGGCGGCCCCACAAACAACUUGGACUGGAUCAUGAAAUCUAGGCUCUUGCGGCCCUGUUAUUCGUAGGGGCGACAAAGCAUCCCCUGCAUCUGUUCCAGUAAAUCUAGCAUCUGGGCAGAGGCCAAGCCCUUUCUCCAUUCCCCAUGACCACACAUCACCAGCUGAUGAAACAACACCAGUAUGAAAUAAACCACAAUCAACAGAGACCAGGUACGCAUCUUGUGGCAAUUCAUUUACAGGUUCAGGUUUCAGUGCACUUUGGGAGGUUCCAUGCCCAAGCUGCCCAUUUUCACCCAGGCCAAAAGUCCAGCAUGUGCUUUCUAAUUUUUCAUUGGGUCUCUUUUUGUGAGUGAGCAAAGCGGUAUGAAAUGCACCGCAUGCUACCUCAUAAAUAGCCCAGGGAGAGUGCUGGUUAAAUGUUUCAACAAUUUCAGGAUGAAUUCUGCUCUCUCUAUCUCCCAAACCCAACUGGCCAUGGUUAUUGUUUCCCCAAGAGUAGCAUACUAGAUCCUCACCUUCAUAUGUUUCUCCAACAGUUACCAAAGCUACAACAUGCUCAUUUCCACAUGCCACCUUUACAACAGUGUGGCCAUGGAAAUCCCAGACAGGAAUCGGAGUGAAACUGCUGACCAGGGAGAAACCACUCUCGCCACUGCUGCUGCUUUGCUGUGGGCAAUUGCCCCAUAUCCACAGGGUCCCAAGAUUGUCGAUUGCUAGAGACAUCAUCCCUCCUGCUUUAACAGAACAAGCCUUUAAUGGUGCUUCUCUCUUUGUUU
rnacentral:misc_RNA from 1 species